ACAGAGGACACGGCUCGCGCCCCCCCCCCAGGUGCAGAUGACGCUCUACACCAGGAAACACAGUUAUCUGCUGAGCAGCAAUUUAUGAAGCACUGUCGAGUCUGGAACUCAGGAAGUCCACCCAAGGAAACAACACAAACCCCUCCAGGAGGCUGAAACCUGUCUGUUCAUCCUGUUGUGGACUUCUAGUAUAUUUGUGAGUAUCCCAGACCCCCUCCCCCCACCACCCCCCCUGCUCCUAGCCCAGGCCCUGCUGCUCCUCCUGCUCAGCUCAGCUCUGGCUCCCUCUAGCCGUGCCUCCAUGUUUCCUUGUUAAUGCACUCCAUACUGCCCUGUCCCACCCUGCUCUCUACCACCCUCUAGACACCCACAUACACCUGAAAACCUCCAGAUCUGGCUCUAAAUGUGCCCCCCAUGGCUCCUAGAACCCUCCUGGUCUUCCAUGGGCCCCAUUGGCCACAGCUCAGGGCUGGAUU